AACGGGAUACCAAAAUCACACACAUAUCGAGAAACAUCAUUCAAUGAUUUUAUAGCAAUAUUUUGUGACCGUAUCGGCCUACAAUAAUAUUAUUUGCAAUAUAAGAAUGACAUAUUGUUUGUUAUAACAGAGUAGUAUUUUAUAGAUAAUUUUUAAGAACAAAUGAGCUUAUUAAGUAUAAGAGAAAACAUAUCAUCUAGAAGUAUGGCGUUCAUUGGUUUGAGAAGUAGUUUAAGGAUACUAUGGGCGGUGGCGGCAACGAUGGUGUUUUUGACGAGGAGUAGUGCUGCGCCUGCUUAUGGUGAAACCAACAGGGCAAUGCCUGAUUAUGACGUUGACUUCCAGAUGUACCUGGCCCAAUAUGGCUACCUCAGCCCGUCCGUACGGAAUCCUUCCAGCGGUCACAUAAUGGACGAAAGUACAUGGAAAAAAGCCAUCGCAGAGUUCCAGAGUUUUGCCGGAUUAAAUAGUACAGGUGAAUUGGACGAAGAAACUGUCAAGCUAAUGUCAUUGCCAAGGUGUGGAGUUAAAGAUAAAGUAGGCUUUGGUGAAAGCCGGUCCAAGCGAUACGCGCUUCAAGGCUCAAGAUGGCGUGUAAAGAACCUCACAUACAAGAUCUCCAAGUAUCCAUCUAGACUGAACCAUGCAGAGGUUGACGCCGAGCUGGCAAAGGCAUUCUCCGUUUGGUCCGAUUAUACGGACCUAACCUUUACCCAGAAGCGUGCCGGACAGGUCCAUAUUGAAAUUAGGUUUGAAAAGGGCGAGCACGGUGAUGGUGACCCCUUCGACGGCCCUGGUGGUACCCUGGCCCAUGCUUACUUUCCUGUAUACGGUGGUGACGCUCACUUUGAUGACGCUGAAAUGUGGUCCAUCAAUUCCAGAAGAGGAACCAAUCUUUUCCAAGUAGCAGCCCACGAAUUUGGUCACUCUCUAGGGCUUUCGCAUAGCGAUGUCCGCUCAGCUUUAAUGGCACCCUUCUACAGAGGCUACGAUCCCACUUUCCAGCUCGACCAGGACGACAUACAGGGCAUACAGGCUUUGUAUGGUCGUAAAACGCAAAUCGAUAUUGGCGGUGGGCUCCCCAACCCCACCGUGCCACGAAUCACCACGCCACAGCCCUCGGCCGAGGAUGCCACGCUAUGUUCGGACCCCACCAUUGAUACCAUAUUUAACUCAGCCGACGGUGCCACUUUUGUAUUCAAAGGCCAACAUUACUGGAGACUGACGGAGAACGGCGUAGCAUCGGGCUAUCCCCGCCUUAUCUCACAAUCAUGGCCCGGCCUGCCUGGAAACAUCGAUGCAGCUUUCACUUACAAAAACGGAAAGUCUUACUUUUUCAAGGGCUCUAAAUACUGGCGGUAUAACGGACAGAAGAUGGACGGAGAUUAUCCCAAGGAAAUUAGCGAAGGUUUCACUGGCAUCCCAGACAAUAUAGAUGCAGCAUUAGUAUGGUCCGGCAAUGGAAAAAUCUACUUCUACAAAGGUUCCAAGUUCUGGAGGUUCGACCCCGCGCAACGCCCUCCCGUCAAGUCCACGUAUCCUAAACCGUUAUCCAACUGGUCAGGAAUACCUGAUAAUAUCGAGGCAGCAUUGCAGUAUACGAACGGAUAUACCUACUUCUUUAAGGGUGGAUCAUAUUGGCGGUUUAAUGAUAGAACUUUCAGUGUGGACACCGACAAUCCUGCAUUCCCAAGGUCCACUGCUUACUGGUGGUUGGGUUGUAGUAGUGCGCCGCGUGGAACCGUCGGAGGUAAUGCGCGACUCUCCGUCCCUUCGCACUACGCCCACGACGACGAUGACGACGACGUGGGCGAUAUCAUAUUCGACGCAGGUUUAAAAUCAUCCGCUCCCAGAUCAUUCUUCUGGUUCAGGAAAUAGCCUCGGAGUUCCUGACCAAUUUGUACAUAGAGAAUAUCAUAAAGAACAAAGACUAAAUUAGUAACAUAGGGGAUCAUGUACCAGUGAGAUUAUAGACAUAAGCGGUGAUUUUAGUACCGGCGAGCUUCUCACGCGCUGCCUAUGCGGGCCACGCAGCGGGCGGCGACAGCGGCGCGGCUCACGCUCGGCAGUCGCUCACUCUCCUGCUCGCUUCGGUCUGCUCUCUGCUCCUGUUAAGGACACUUCCGCGCGCCUAGCGCCGGCCACCGCGUCUCCUCUGUGAUCGAGUGUUGUGUGCCUGACUGCGUUCGGUAUAUUGUGUAUAGCGAACGCCAUGCUGUGAUGUUAUGUCCUUUUAUACUGUUGUGAGAACGAUAAUUUAAUUAAAAGUCAUAGUUUUUAUACUUAAUAUAAAUAGAUGAUGUAAGUUCGAGUGUGAUAUUGACGUAAGCGACGAUUUUUGUAUUAAAAAUAUUUAAAGA